rnacentral:rRNA from 1 species
CAGCCGCCGCGGUAAUACCGGCGGCCCGAGUGGCGGUCACUAUUAUUGGGCUUAAAGCGUCCGUAGCCGGGGUGGGAAGUCCUCCGGGAAAUCUGGCCGCUUAACGGUCAGAAUGCCGGAGGAUACUCCCAGCCUAGGGAGCGGGAGAGGCCGAGGGGAUUCCCGGAGUAGGGGUGAACUCCUAUAAUCCCGGGAGGACCAACUGUGGCGAAGGCGCUCGGCGGGAACGCGUCCGACGGUGAGGGACGAAGGCCAGGGGAGCAAACCGGAUUAGAUACCCGGGUAGUCCUGGCUGUAAACGAUGCGGACUUUGUGUCGGACAAGCUAUGAGCUUGUCCGGUGCCGGAGGGAAACCGUUAAGUCCGCCGCCUGGGGAGUACGGCCGCAAGGCUGAAACUUAAAGGAAUUGGCGGG